CGUUAUUAGAGCUCCACGGCGGAUCUCGGGGCUCUUCUGCUCGCUUUUUUUCCUCUUCAGAAAUUAAAGCAGAGGAGCAUCUGAAAGUGGAAAGGUCCCCCUUCUGGUAGGAUGGAUGUAAAAGGAGGCAACAAUUUGUUCUUGAGGGGGCAAAAAGAAAAAAAAAAAAAGAAAAGAAAAGGAGGGGGGAAAUUCAUUGCUUGGCUUUUGCAUUGUCGGACUUUAAAAAAGUGUAACUGCUGUUGUUGCCCGGACUCGGGAAAUCUUUCUUAGGGCAACCGCAGACCUGCCAAGUCUCUUACUUGGAAUCUUUAUAAAGGCAAGUUAUUUGGACUUUUUUUUUUUUUUUUCUUUUCUCGUUUAGAGAAAGUCAGUGGUGCUGAAGAAUGCCAUAAUGUAAUUCAAAAGAGACAGCUUUCAGUUCAGUCCUUUAAAUAACAUUCUCAAAUUGACAGAUCUUUGUCCGGAAACUAAAGCUUUCUCUUGAUUUUUUUUUUUUUUUUUUUAAGCAAGAGGUAAGGAAAUAAUGCACUUAAGAAUGUAUAUACAAGAAAAUAGUUUCUAAAAUAAACUGAAAUGUCUGCAGGUCGGUGGAAAUUUUUGUUUCUUCUCGCAGUUUUGUUUUCUAACUUUUCACCUGUUCCCAUCGCAAAACAAGAAACCAUCACCUGUUUCCUUCUUUUACCUUAAGGAAAGGAUGUUUUAGUAUUAUUAUUAUUGUUGCUAUUUAUUGAUUGGACACGCUUGUCAAGUUAUAAAAGCCUGAGAGGGCUACUAAAUAGAGCUUAGAUUCAAAAGUCUUGAUGGAAAUUAAGAGAUUCAGAAUACGGUUAAUUACACAAAACAGGCAGAAUUUUGUACAAGUACUAUGUUCUUAAUCAGAUUUUAAAAAAUUAUCUGUUCUGUAAAAUUAAGGUACUGCUAUCUGUUAAGCCACCACGCAAAGACAUCAAAGCUUUAAGGAAGUUGUAUUUUUUCCAAUCUAACCUUUAAACUGCCUGGACCCUCAUGUGGAUAGCUGCAAAUACAGUGGUUUGUUUUUUUUUUUUUUUUUUUCAAUGUCUUCAUUAUAAUUAAAUGAGUUUUCAGUCCAUCUGCAGCAAUUUCUAAAGUGAAAUAAUAGUUGUAGUCAAAUGUAACUUUGCAUGACUGUGAAAUAAAGCAUACAACUUUUGUUGCAGAAUCUGUGUUGGUACAUUAAGGAUUCCAGAUUUUAUACAUAACUUUAUACAUUCAUUUUCACAGAAAUCAUUCAGAAAGGGAAAAAUGUACAAACACCACGUUUUUACAAUACUUUCCUUUCGUGUGGUAGCCAUAUGUGUGCAGAAUACUAUGGUGCCAGGUAUGUGUGGUCCCAAGUUAUGUGUGAUAUUAUCUAAAAUAUUGAUAGCAUCUAAUCCUGGUUUUAUUGGAAUGUGAAAAAUUGCUAACAUAAUACUAACGCGUACCCUAAUUUGUUAAAGUUUUCUACAUGGGUUGCUUUUUUGCUGCUUUCUCAAAAUAGUCUACUUUGCUUUAGUCUAAAAUUGUUCUUUAAUUUCCCAAUGUUAGUAUUUCUGUUGCCUUCCUCUAUUAAGAGAUAAAUAAAACCCUUAGCUCAGAGAUUUAGAUCUGGCUCAAGAGCCUGAUAUUUCAGUUUGGGAUAGUACUGCGUACCAUGUUAAGGGAGAAUUAAAGCACCAACCACCCAAAAGACAAAAAUAAAAACUAUUUUAACCUAAAUCUGUCAAAUAUUGACCUAGACAGAUAGGUAAAAUGCUUUUGAAAUGUAUCUUUAAAUACUUUAAUUCCGCCCCCCCCCCACCAGGUUACCAAGGAGGGAAAAAUCGUUGAUUAUGUUUCUAAACAUAAACCCCAACAUCUACCCAUGAAGCCAAAGCCAUCGUCCCUGAGCAGAAUGCAGCAACUGUGUGAAUAUUUGGAUGCUGUUGUUGAUGAUGGGGUAAUAAUGCAUAAAGAAACGUGCAAGGAAUUUCACUAAAGACAGGACAAAUAUUUUCUUAGGUCUCAUUAAGGGGUCUCAAAGUCCAAGACAAAACAUCACCCACUCCACCUUUUGGAGGGACAGAUCUGGUAGGCAAAACUCCCAGUGAUUUCAGCAUCCCUUACCACCAUAUCCCAUGUGAAUUAAUCAAUUAUGUGGAAUUGGUGAGCACUUGGCUUUCAUUAAACACUGCUGAGUAGCCUCACAAUUACUUUCCAUGCUUUGUAUAUAAACAGACACCAAAAAUGUAAACUGUCCAGUUCACCUGAUGGAGACUACGCAGAUGCUAAAGAAGGAAAACCGAGAUUUGUCUUUCUUUGGACGAUGCGAAAAAGCAUAAUUAACUACUGCAAAAAGAAACACUUUCAAUAACGCUUUUGGUGUGGACUUCAUUAAAGUUUUACUUUUUCUUGAAAGCUACCCUUGACCCCCCACUUUUUUUGCUUUCUACCCCCACUCAGCCCCCCACCAUCAGCCUUCAUGUUUCUAGAGGACCCAGAUAAAGUAUGUGUAUUUACUGUGGUGUGGCAGGCAGCUUGUAAGAUGGCGCCCAUGACCCCUGCUCUGGUCUUCAUGCUGCUGUGUCAUCCCAACUCCUGAGUGUCAUCUGCACCUAGUGAAUUGCUUCUGACAAUUACAAUAUGGCAAAAGUGAUGGCAUGCCACUCUGAGUUUAGAGUACAAAACUUCGUUUUGCUUGCGCUCUCUCAAACUCUUCCUUCCCUGUUCUUUCUCUCUCUUUCUUUCUGUCUCUCUGUCUCUCUCUCUUUCUCUCUUUCUCUGUCUUUCUCAGUCUCUCUCCCUCCCUCCCCUUCUCUCCAUCUUCCACUCUGGUUCUUUUCACUUGCUCACCUGCCACCUGCCACCUGCCACAUUGUGAACUACUCUAAUGCAGAAACUCUCCUAACGAGGAAAUGAAAGAAACAUGACCAACAGUCAGCAAAAAACUGAGGCUCUCAGUUUCACAACCUGUGAACAAAUGAACAUGCCAACAACUGCUAAUGAGUUAGGAAAUGGCUCCUCCUCUGGCCAAGCCCUCAGACGAGACAUUUUCCUCACAGCCUUGUGAGAGACCCACAGCCAUAAUGCCUAGCUAAGCUGCACCCAGAUUUCUGACCCUCAGAAACUAUGAGAUAAUAAAUACUUGUUAUUUUAUGUCA